CUUGUAGGUGGUUUUGUAAGUUGGACGUUAAAUCUCCAGGCUCAACUUGGAGAGGCCGUUCAAUACUGCAAGACUAGAGGAUGUCAGAGGAAGGUGGAAUUCCAGGUGUAGUAGUGAAAUGCGUAGAUAUCUGGAGGAACACCCAUGGCGAAGGCAGCCUUCUGGGACAUUCCUGACACUGAGAAGCGAAAGCUAGGGGAGCAAACA
rnacentral:rRNA from 1 species